rnacentral:lncRNA from 1 species
UCAGUUUCUCUGCACGAAUACCGAGAGAAGACGAACGGGUGUUCUUCGUGUUCUUCAUAUUCAAACGAGGAUUUGAAGGCGUUAUUGGAAUCCGAUGGAGGCGUAUAAAUAGUCAAAACGAAGCUCUCGACGCGUAGAAUCUAGUUUAAUCAACCGUAACACUGCAGAUUUCACGGGUAAAUUAUUAUUAAUUUUCGAAAAUUCGAAUUAUUAAGAUUUAAAUAGUGAAUUUUUGCAAACGUGAUUAUUUGAUUAAUUUGAUGAUUCCAUGUUGUAGAGCAUCUCUUGCCAUUCGUUUUCAUAUAUUAUAUGUCGAUUUUUGACUUCCGUAUCAUAUAGAAACAUGGGUUUGAUUCUUGAGGCUGUGUUCUUGAGUGUUCUUGAAGCUUUUUAAUUGAAAUUUGGGGGUUUCUUAUUCUGUGAAUCUGGGCAGUUUUUGAUGUUAUGUAUGUGUUCAUCUUGAUGAGGGGAGUCGAGGGAUGUGAUCGAAAUCAGUGUGAGAGCUCGGAUGAGAGCUCGAUGGUGUUUCAAAGCUUCGCCGGCGGCGAAGUUGUGAUUGGAAUUUUCUACCGUUUCGUUGCAUGUUUGUUGAUUUUAACUACAUAUAUAGGUUCCUGGUAGUGUGUGUAUGUAAUCUGGACAGUUGGGUGGAGUUUGGUGGCCGGGAACGAGUUUUCCGGCGAGUUAGAAGGUGGCCGGCGGCUUAUUGCUGUUUGGUCACCGAAGUUAUGAAGGUGGUGAAGUUUCUGCACCGGAGUUUGCAUUCUGACAGAUUGGCCCCUGUAACUUUGAAAAGUUACAGUUUAAACCUUGGACCAAAACUUUCAAAAGUUUACAAAAUAAACCUUUUGAUUUAAUUUUCUAAAAUUGUUUUAUUUAAUUAUUUUAAAUUUCAAAAAUAGUUUUUAAUUAUUUCUUUAUUCAAAAAUAAAUCUAAAUUAGUUUCUUAAUUAAUUUUAAUUAGUAAUUAAUUAUUUUAAUUGGUCAAUUAAUUUAAAUAUUAAUUGAUUAAUUAAUUUAGUUAAUUAUUAAUUGAUUUUAAUUGAUUAAUUAAUUAGAUUUAAUUGUUCCUUUUGAUUUAAAAAUUCCGAAAAAUAGUUUCGAGCUUUGAAUUAUUUUUCUAAAAUAUGUUCGAGGCUCGUUAAUUGAUUUCAAAUGAUUUUGGAUCCGAUCUUGAGCAAUCGGAAUUGAUUAUUUAUUCAAAAAUGGAUUCUUUUACCCGUUUUAAUUCCGAAAAAUGUCUAGAAAUUCCAGAAAAUUCCCGAAAAAUCAUUUUUAACCCAAGACUUGAUUUGACAUCAAUCGGGAUGGGAGACCUUAUAUGAAAUAUGUUGUCUGCUAUCUGUUUGAUGUGUUAUGUGCUGAUAAAGAGUAAGAAAACAGUUUUGUUCAUAACUUUUGACUCGUAAUUCAGAAUGGAGUGAAACGAAAAAGAGAUUAAAGCUUAUAAAGUCUAUUUUAAUGUGACAUAAUAAUAUGGUGGAAUAUAGAAUGUGAAUAAUUGUUGUUAAAUGUAUAGAAUAUGAUGAUAUGUGAUCUAAUUGCUAUUAAUUGAUGAUUGCAUGGACUAUCUGGUUGUUCUAGUAUUACAUACAUGUGAUAAAUGAUUAAAUGACAUAGUGUCGUGUCUUGAUAGAUGUCGGAUAAAAGCAUAUGGAUUAUAGUGAUUGGAUUUGGUUGGUUGAUUGUUGAUUGAGAUAGGAUAACAGGUGGAUAGUCUAAUAAAUAGACGAGACGAUGUCGGAUUUUCGAUAAGAUUUAUAUGAUAUUUAAUUGAUAAUAUGUUAUGUGAAAUAUGAUUAGACUAUAUGGUAGAGUCAAAGCAUGAUUAUGUGUUAAGUGAUAUUUGAUGAGUUUAAAGAGUUAUAUAAGUGGGUAUCGAUAUACGUGAUAUGUGUAUGCGAUAGGUUAUGCUACCGAGUUGAUAAGUAGAGAUAAGAAUCAAUAGAUUAUUUAGUGAUAAUGGUAGUAUCUUAUUCUCGUAAAGGGUUUGGACGAGACGGAUACGAUCGAAGACGUUCAGAAGGUCAAACGAUGUUACAAAGCGAAUAAGGAACGAAUCGAGUAAACGAAGCAGUGUGGCGAAUAGAGUAUAGCCAAAGAUGGUCUAGAGACUAUGAUAUGCAUAGAGUGUGAAAGUGGAAAGAUGAGAUUGAGAUAUGAGACUGGAAUCGGAUUUAAGGCAAGUUUUCCUAAAUCCUUCCUCAUAUAUAUAUUGCAUGUUCUGAUUAUUCUGUCAAGAUUAUGAUAUUGUUUAUACUGAAACCCUUCUCAAAUAAACUCUUACUUCUGAGCAUGAAACCCAUGAUUGUUUUCUUCUUCCAAGUUUUGAAAAUCCAAACACCUAAUUACUCUCAAUUUCUAUUACAAGUAUUCUGAUCCAUUCUUUCCAAUCCUCAAGAUAUUAAAAAUACCAGCUUUACAAAUUAAUUCGAAGUUCAGACCGUCAUUGAAGCAUGUGUUGCUCAGUGAUAGUUAGAACCUAGAAUGAACUGGGAUCUUCUUGAUUAUUCAACCCGCCAUUGUCAUGCUGGUUUAGCAGGCUAAAUUCAGUUGCUUAGCCGAUAAUGGAGGAUACUGAAUAGUUAGGAAUUUCCUGAACUAUGAUUUAUCAAAAGACAGACUGUGGUUUAUGAAAUGUUGAUUCCCAAAAGUUGAUUUGAAAUAUUUCUGUUGCUGAUAAUGAUUAUGAUUCUGUUCUGUUGAUUCAAUUGUCUGUUGAUUUAAAUUGUUAGAAUUGGAUUAGUUUUUAUAAAAUAUGUGGACCAGAUUCGUGGUCAGACCAGAUUCGUGGUCAAUUAUAGGCCAAUGUGUGCCUUGGAUCCAGUAUAGAGAACAGGGCUGUGUGCCAUGUUCGGGGUUAGUGCGUGACUGAUCAGCAGCCUAACCUUUGGUUUUUAAGUAAAAAUGUGAUGAAUCCAAUUCGACAAUUC